rnacentral:tRNA from 1 species
GGAGAAGUGGCCGAGCGGUUUAAGGCGGCGGUCUUGAAAACCGUUGAGGGCGAUGAGUCCUCCUGGGGUUCGAAUCCCUACUUCUCCGCCA